AAAGUUUGGCAUCGGCUGUCAUGUAAACGCAUGUAGCAAACAUCCACGUUCCCAUUAUUUUCAGAUAUGCAUAUUUUCAUCAAAUUUUGGUGUUUUUAUUGCAAACCUUACUCUUGUUCAUAUGGAACCAGUGAAAAAUGUUCAACAUUUCUGACGAACAUCGCAUUAGGUAAACCUGCCACACAGUUAUCAACAUAUCUUGACUAUAACGCCGCGUAUGCAGUGGAUGGCAUCAGAGAAACAAAUCAUCUUGUACACAAGUGUACAGCUACAGGUGAUGGCGACACCAAUCCCUGGUGGAAGGUGGAUCUGCAGGCUGUGUAUUACAUCACAUCUGUUAGAAUACUCAACAGAGGAAAAGAUGAAUACGGAGAUGUGUCAUUCCGGCUGCAGGACGUUACCGUCACUGUAGGUCUGACAGAAUCAGAUAUCAACACUCCCUGUGGUUUCUUUGCUGGUCCCGGUACUGCGUCCCAGCUGGUCGUCAUCGACUGUCCGACAUCAACACAGGGGAGAUACGUAAAGAUCUCCAAGACAACAGUGUUUCUUAUUCUUUGUGAAGUUGACGUGUUUGGCGUCCCCGUCUAACCAUCAAAUUAUUUGGUGUCAAAGAUGAAAAGUUGCCGUAAAAAAUACAUGCAUUUGUUUGUGCAUCCCGGAUAAUUUAUUAUGUAUCUUUUUUUUCAAUUCAGCUGGACAAGUCUUAUUUAUGCCUUCAGUCAGCUCAAGCAUACAUGUAUCUUUUACAACAUAGACCACAGCAUGGAAUGUGACAUAGCACUGAAAUCUUAUACCACUGCUUUCGAAUCCGAUACCGUAACAUAUAAUCUCAUGAUUGCAUUUCAUCAUAUCAUAACAUAGCAUACAGCAUGGUUUAACUCGCUUUUAAAUGAAUUUAUUUUAGAGAAAUAAUGUUAAUAUUACAGAAUAGUGGUGAGCUUUAGCUCCUUAUUAUUUUAAUUCAAAUGUGUUGAACUCUUCUGUAUAAAGAGGCGUUUUCGUGCAAUGGUCAUGGCAUACCAUAACAUAUCGUAUCGUUAAGCCUUUCAUUUCAAAGUUUUAUAGCAUAUCAUUGUAUUAGUAUAGCAUAUACUAAAAAUAGUAUAGCAUACCAUUAAUAUCAUAACCAUAGCAUAGCGUAAUUAUAGUUGUAAAAUAUAUGCAUGACAUGAUUGUAUACAUGUAUAUGUUCGAUAUGUUGCGUGAUGACUCUAUCUUAUCUCAUUUACAUGUAUAAUACUACAUACACUGGAUAUAUUGACUGUGAAUCUUUCAUGUACCUAUAUGAACAUAUACAAAAUUCGUUUGAAUCAUUUCGUGUUGGUUUAUAUUCUGUGUUACUAAUGUUGUGUCAAUAAAUAACUGCGGGUUU
rnacentral:misc_RNA from 1 species